rnacentral:rRNA from 1 species
CAGCAGCCGCGGGAAUACGAAGGGGGCUAGCGUUGCUCGGAAUGACUGGGCGUAAAGGGCGCGUAGGCGGCGGCCAAAGUCAGGCGUGAAAUUCCCGGGUUCAACCUGGGGGCUGCGUUUGAUACUUGGUUGCUUGAGUGGGGAAGAGGGUCGUGGAAUUCCCAGUGUAGAGGUGAAAUUCGUAGAUAUUGGGAAGAACACCGGUGGCGAAGGCGGCGACCUGGUCCUUUACUGACGCUGAGGCGCGAAAGCGUGGGGAGCAAACAGGAUUAGAUACCCGGGUAGUCCCUGUCUCUUAUAA